rnacentral:sRNA from 12 species
AUGAAUAUUGAAAACGAUUUUUAACCAUGUGUAUGCCGUUGGUCAACGGGUCAUGGGAGCAGUUAAACCCGCGAACAUAAGAGGAUACCCUUAUGUAUAGGCAGAGAGUUGAUUAUCAGUAAUGAUAAUUAAUACGACCAGAUAAGCUGGUGAAUUAAUUGCUGCGCAAGUAAUAAUCGUGAACGCAAAAAGUCUAGUCACCUGGGGUGGAACAAUAGACGGCUCUGUGAGCAAGAAUCCAAGUUAGGGUUGGGGUGGAAGCCAAUCAGUCCUUGGAAAUCCAAUAAUCCACUCUGUAGUUGAAGCCGAGAAAUUGGCUAUAACCAGGGCAGCUAGGGCAAGUAGCCGAAGCUACAGCAUAUUGACUAAUUUAAUGGCUCGUGAAAGAGCGAAACGAAAAGAAAAUUUGCUGAAUGACUGGUGAAAGUUGGAGGUAAAGUCCUCCUGCGGAAAAUGGCUUUUAGCUGGGGUAAGAAGCAAUAGGGUAGCUCCCUAUUGUUCAGCCUUAUCUCCCGCAUGACUGAAUAUUGGGCGUUUAUUAUUUGUAGGGCGAAGGUCCAAAAAUGUUUUCUAUAUUCG